rnacentral:tRNA from 1 species
ACAUAAACAGCUCAGUUGGUAGAGCAUGAGACUAUUAAUAUCAGGGUCGUGGGUUCGAGCCCUGUGUUGAGUG